rnacentral:lncRNA from 1 species
GGUCGAACCUUCCUACCAACAUUCUGUGACACGUUGUUGCUGUGUGACAGAUGGCAGCAGAGGAGCAGUCUGAAAAACGAUAUCUGACAUGGAAGUGUAUAUGAAGCGAAGGGCUGCACCACCGAGGAGAACACUCUGAGGCCAUUACAAAAAAAAAUGCAUCUAUGACAUCAUGGCAAUGCUCCACUCUGCAAAGCUGCAGAUCAAUCCCAAAAUGGUAUUACUCUAUCAGACUCAUGGAAAAUAAAAAUAUCAGGUUGAUUCAUAACCUCAGAUGUUAAAGGCUAAGAAGAAAGAGAAAACUAUAGGGUCAGCUGCAAGUAUCUGGGCUUGCUGCUGGAGAGAAAAGCAGCACAAAAAUACUGUAUGUCGAAAAAAAAAUUACUGGUGAACAUGAUCACCAGUUCAGAUCAGCUGGAUUAAGUGGUUCCUUUCCAAAAAUAAAA